UAUUUUCUUCGUUAGGUGAGGCUACUUCCUGGAUAUAGGCUACUGCCCGGAAAUGUCGAGAGACACCAACGGGUAAACAGGUAUUACCGGCUUAAGGUUUUACCUAAUGUAGCUGAGGGUUUCCUCUAAGCCAGGUUGAGCUAAAGCUUUGACGAGUGGAGAAGGUU
rnacentral:sRNA from 24 species